GACGAACGCUGGCGGCGUGCUUAACACAUGCAAGUCGAACGGAAAGGCCCUGCUUUUGUGGGGUGCUCGAGUGGCGAACGGGUGAGUAACACGUGAGUAACCUGCCCUUGACUUUGGGAUAACUUCAGGAAACUGGGGCUCAUACCGGAUAGGAGCUCCUGCUGCAUGGUGGGGGUUGGAAAGUUUCGGCGGUUGGGGAUGGACUCGCGGCUUAUCAGCUUGUUGGUGGGGUAGUGGCUUACCAAGGCUUUGACGGGUAGCCGGCCUGAGAGGGUGACCGGCCACAUUGGGACUAAGAUACGGACCAGACGCCAACGGGAGGCAGCAGGGGGGAAUAUUGCACAAUGGGCGGAAGCCUGAGGCAGCAACGCCGCGUGCGGGAUGACGGCCUUCGGGUUGUAACCCGCUUUCGCCGGUGACGAAGCGGGAGUGACGGUAAUGGGUAAAGAAGCACCGGCUAACUACGUG
rnacentral:rRNA from 1 species